GAUGAACGCUGGCUACAGGCUUAACACAUGCAAGUCGAGGGGAAACGACGGGGAAGCUUGCUUCCCCGGGCGUCGACCGGCGCACGGGUGAGUAACGCGUAUCCAACCUGCCUCUGACUGAGGGAUAACCCGUCGAAAGUCGGCCUAAUACCUCAUGGCAUCGUCUGCGGGCAUCCAACGACGAUUAAAGAUUUCAUCGGUCAGAGAUGGGGAUGCGUCUGAUUAGCUUGUUGGCGGGGUAACGGCCCACCAAGGCGACGAUCAGUAGGGGUUCUGAGAGGAAGGUCCCCCACAUUGGAACUGGGACACGGUCCAAACUCCUACGGGAGGCAGCAGUGAGGAAGAUUGGGCAAUGGGCGAGAGCCUGAACCAGCCAAGUAGCGUGCAGGAUGACGGCCCUAUGGGUUGUAAACUGCUUUUAUGCGGGGAUAAAGUGAGGGACGGGUCCUCAAUUGCAGGUACCGCAUGAAUAAGAACCGGCUAAUUCCGUG
rnacentral:rRNA from 1 species